CACUUGGCUUAUUCAAUAAACUAAUUGGACUUGAUCCAAUCAAGCCCAAACCAAAUCUAAUUAAAUCAUAUUCAACUAGACUUAAUCUUAGCCUAUUGGCUUAAUUAAAUUAAGCCAAUUAGCAAUUAAAUUGCUAAUCGAUCCUCCUGUAACACUUGCACUAGAUUAAAUAUCAAUCGUAUUGAUCAUUUAACUCUAGAACGAUUCUUAAUCGUUGAUCAACCAUCCGAUCGGAUCAUGAACUCUAAUGUGUGUGACCUCAUAGGUCUGAACCUAAGCCGGUAGCAUAGAAAUAAAUUUUUGUACCAAUCAAAGUGACCAUCUAGCAAUGGUACCUGAUGAUCGGAUAGGUCGAAUGUGUAGAACAACAUCCUUAGAAUCCAUGCGGAUAUAGUUUCUAUAUAAUUUAUUCCCUUGACCAAAAUGAUCAUAGGAUACCUCAGAGUUCAACUGUUAACUCUGAUCAGGUUGUCUAUAUUGUAUUUCAAAAGAUCAAAUCCAUCUGAUGGAUUAUCCUGGCCUAAGUUUUGCUAAAUUGAAAUACAGUGACUCAUUCUUCUCCAACUCUUGGAGUGGUCAAUCCCAUCUCGAUCAUACUCUGACUUCGCAAGUACUUGACUAUGCCCAGAAGCCUUCCGUCACUGAAUUAGAAAUUCAGUUAGUCCAGUACCAAAGCACAGUGAGUUGCUUGCAAGUCACUGAGGUGAUCUCAGAUCUAAGGGACACUUAUAUCUAUAUCCUAUCAGAGAUAUUCUUGAUAGCAAAAUGCUUUGGAGUUGGUCAUGUUCAAUGAUGAUGUACCCUUACAUCUCACUUGUAUGCCAUACCAGUGUCUCCAUACUCUUUGGUUAAGAGGACAACCAACCCAUAUAGCCUACAGCGACCUAUGCUCGAUAGAAGCUGUCGUCCUUAUUAACAGCCUAUCAUUUGAUCGUGAAUAGUUUUAAGGACUAAUCGAUAAAUCUUUUCUUUAUCGAAUCUAAAUAGUCCUAAGGACUUCAUCAUAACAAUGGAGUUCAUUAGAAGAUGAAAGCUUAUGAUGAAAAUACCAAAUAUAUGUUAUUUAUUAAUAAAUCAAUUACCAUACAAGAUUGCUCAACGAUCAACAGGCUGACGAUUGAUUUUUGGGACACAUUUUUCAACAAUACUAAGAGUUUUUGGUCAAGUAUAUGGCCUAAUUUUUCAGAAGUCAGAACAAUUCUGAGGUUUCUUAACCAGUCUUUAAAAUUGAUUUCGAUUAAACGAUUGGAUUCAAGGAUGCAGGCUAGAGGGUUUGAAGCUGACAUGUUUUAACUAUGAGAGUAAAGAUUCAAAUUUGACCUUUUAUACUUUAAAUUUAUAUUUGUUCUAGAGACUUUAUGAAGUAAAUAAAAAUUUUCACUAUUUUUUUAGAUCCCUCCACUCCUCAGGUGGGAAACAAAAAUCCUAAUGCAAUAAUUAGAUUUCUAGUAGGUGUUGCAAUCUCAUCGAUGCCAUAUACCUCACCUAACAGUUAUUGGUAAUAUGCACACCGAUGCGUGGAUAACUUUUUAUCCCGAUAUUUCUCUAAGCAUGUUGCAGCAAUUUGAUCUCUAAGUUAUGUGAGCUCACUUAAUAGUUAUUGACCACAUUCUUUAGUUAAAUCCGAUCCACCAUUUACAAGCAGAUGCAAGGUCAUCAUUAGAUCCCUCAGCUAACAGUUAUUGAGUCCAAUCCCAUCUUCACACUGGAGCAACUCUUUGCUAAUAGUAGUUACAUGUUUUCGGUACAACUGAACCACUGUGACCAACUGAGAGCAAUCAAUACCAGUACCACACCCGCACAUCUAUAACGAUGGAAGACCUAUAAACUUAAUAUUUGUAAGGAGGUUUAGAUUUAAAUCUCAUCUAAUCAAUUAUCAUAUGAUCGAUCUAAUUGGCAUGGGCUAAACCAAACUACCAAGCAACCUUAUUCAAGAUUCAAUCUUUCUAAUUGACCAAGUGG
rnacentral:lncRNA from 1 species